ensembl:lncRNA
CUUCAGUGGCUCAAGGAAAAAGAGGGGAAAGAAGACACCUUUAUUCCUUACUCUAUGGCCUCCUUGGAGGUCUUGCUCCAUAAUGGGAAGUUUUUGCAAAUGUGGGAUGCUAUCUUCCCCUGAAAUUCUCCAAGGCUGGCUGGAGUUUCAGAGAUAGGAGUAUGUUAUCCCCUGGGUAUCUGCAAACAAUGGGUGGAAUGGAGACCAGCUGUGGCCACAAGGGCAGGAGCUGGGGCCUGAGAGUCCAGCACUUGCCUUUGCCUGGGUCUGCACACAGCAGGUAUUUGACACACCACCGACAGCUGGUGGGAUGGAUGGGAGGAGGCUGUACAGCACUAAAUGCACUUUAUGAAUUUGGGGUAGGUAAAAUCAAGCUUGUAUUUUAUCUUAAACAUGUUUUCUAUGAUGAAAAGGAACAAAAUUUUAAAAAACGAAGGUUUUUCCCUUCUAAAGGUUUCAGUUAAAGAGGACAUGCAAUUAAAUGUUGUUACCUCGAACAAGGAGUCUCAUGACUGUAGGAAGGGCAGACGGGCUCCAUUACCAACGCUGGGGUAGAAAGCACAGCUCUCCUGUUUUACCCAGCACAAAUGCAAUCCUGGCUAUUAAAAUAUUUGUGUUUCCAAAUACAACCAAAGGAAAUCUUAGAGAAACAUAAAUUAGAAAACUCUUUUAUUAAAGGGAAAUAACAAAAAAAGGUGUUUUUUGUUUUUGUUUUUGUUUUUUUUGUUUAAGAAGAAAACAAGCCUUAAAACCAUGAAGUUAAAUAGCUGGGUCUGGAGCAGAUGUGCAUAAUAACUAAUUAGUAGCUCCCAGAGGAUUAGAAACAGCUUUAGAAAGGGAACAGCUGAAUAUGGAUUGGUGUGUUUCAGAAGAGGCAGCAGUUAAUACUCUUCCAAUAAAAAUGAUGUGUUAACAGUGUUCAGCCUCAACCGGUGCUUUCUCAGAGAAUCUGCUUGAUAAGUUCAGGUCAUGAUGUGUUUACUUAUCAUGGCAAUGCAGAUGCGAUUAUUGAGAAGGCCUUCAUACCUCACAGUAUAAAGCAGUAAGUAGCUUCUGAGGCUGGUUCAAUGCAGAAGUAAAACUGACAGUUUUGCUAAAAGCUUAAGACUGCUAAUUGCCUAUUUUCUGCAGCUCUGACCAGCAUCCCUCUCACAUGACAAAAAAAAAAAAAAAACCAAAGAGUGUAGAGCGCCAACAGAAUGAAAAUGACAACACUUUUCUUUUGCCUCAGAAGGACACUGGUGCUUGUUGGUGCGCUGGAUUUUCCACUGAGUCCAAAUGACAAGAAUAUUUGGGCAAACAAUUGGUCACAAGUGGGUCGAGAUACUACUAUUGAAAGAGGAAGGCUAAAACUAAAGAGAUCCCUUGCUAUCAUUAAGGAUUAAUUUUUGUGUUUUUACUUUGAUUUUAAAAGUAAUAUUUGUCAAGGCUCCAAGGGGUUGAAUAAUUUAGGAUAAACCAUUACCACCCUGUCUGCAAGCCAUCUGCUGUUUUAAUGGUAGAUGUUAGAUACCCAUGCACAUGUAGAAAAAACAACCUUCCUUUUUUGGUAGGUUGUAAAGAAAUAUUUCAAAAGACAGUUUCUGACUGGAAUAACAGAAUGUUCUAAGUGUUCCUUUAUAAAAGUAUGUGACUUCAUGUAUACCAUUUUUAACAGAAAAAGCUACACCUGCCAAAAUGUAAGGAAACCAGCACUAAGCAUGCAAUACUGAAUGUGAGAAAGGAACUUCAACCAUAUUACUUCCUAUCUUUUAAAAUUCAAACCAAGUUUCAAAGUGGAGAGCCUGUGGUUGCUCCCUGAGUCCAGGUUUUAUCUUCCACGAGAGAAAAGGGCACAGCUGGUCUUCUGACAUCUUGGUCAGCACAUGAUGUUAUGAAUAAUGAAGGGCUUCCUGUCAAAAUGCUUGAUCAGUUUCAUGACAAGGGAGUUCUCUGGUCUCUGAUCUUAAGGAUGAGAUGGGUUUGUCUGGCGCAGGAAGAAGUGUGCCAAGGGAUGGAGCCUGGGCACCACCUGCCUGGGUACCUGGAGGAACACUUGACCUCAGUGAGAUAACCCGGGCAGUCCAAUAACAGCAUGUGAUCUGGCCAUUGUUCAUGAGUUUCAGAUCUGCCUCUGGUAUGGGGAGUCUGUUAGGAUUGGGCCUUUAAGAAAAAUAUGUGUGUUCCUUGUCUGCUAAAAGCCUGAAGAUUGUUUAAUAAUAUUCUAGCCCAAGUUAUUUCACCCUGAUUACCCCGUGCUAUGUACACAGUAUCGAAAUUACAUUCAGAGAUUUAAGAAAAAUUGUAGCAAUAUUUUCCCCACAAAACUCAGUGCAAAAUAUCUUUAACAAAUAAUGAUGGCAGUAAGAAAUAUUCGACAUAGUCAUGCAAAAAUGCAUCUGAGCUUACAAAGGUUUAGAACAUUUCCAAAAUAUGCCCUAGGUUUUU